AUCAUACAGACUGCGACUAGUAACUGAGUGGUUUAUAUAGCGUUUAUAGCAAACACAAACUACAGCUAGGUGUAUACUACUAAUGAUUAGUUAAGCGGAUGAUUUCAGCAAUUUACAGCAAUUUUUCCAAUAAGUCGAUCCAUAUAUCUUGUCAAGUGCGCCAAUUAUUGUCGGUCCUUCAAUUCCAAUUUACUGUGACGGUGUUUUGGAAGCUACAACAGUCAGUGUUUACGUGCUUUUUUUCUGUCUUGGGACGGUUGAUCGAGGCCUUAGUAGUUAAGUUUCACUGGGGCUUUGGAUCGAGGCCGGUUGUAUAUUCUUCCACUGAAACAGAUCCUGUAAGGAUUCCACCAAAUACGCUCGCCACAGAACAGGCACUAUGGAGACCUUAGAAUAUGUUUCUCACAGUAGAACACUUUUGAGCACAAUUUGCAAAUCUUACGCCAAUUCCAGACUAAUCUGAUUGCAUAUGAAAUCCCUUCCGUUUCCUGAAUGGAACCACAGCUUUUCCCGAUGGAUGAUUUCCCAACGAUUUGCACUUUGAGUAUGGUAAAGUUGUCACACACCGAAAUGGAACGGUCCGAAGAG